rnacentral:rRNA from 1 species
UACGUAGGGUGCAAGCGUUAAUCGGAAUUACUGGGCGUAAAGCGUGCGCAGGCGGUGAUGUAAGACAGGUGUGAAAUCCCCGGGCUUAACCUGGGAACUGCAUUUGUGACUGCAUCGCUGGAGUGCGGCAGAGGGGGGUGGAAUUCCUGGUGUAGCAGUGAAAUGCGUAGAGAUCAGGAGGAACACCGAUGGCGAAGGCAGCCCCCUGGGCCGACACUGACGCUCAUGCACGAAAGCGUGGGGAGCAAACAGG